rnacentral:misc_RNA from 1 species
GAAUUGCUUAUACAUCCCACACGAGUCCUCCAUUAAUUACUACUAUUUAAUCUUUCCCUCUACACUUUUUUGCUCCUAAAAUAAUGAUUGUACGUUAAUGUUGUUAGCUAAUAUUUUAUAGCAGAAAGUUAACUAUUUCAUUGUAUUCAUCGAAUAAAAGACAACAGAAUAAGAACAGGAAAGGCUGCUACUUCGUGAACCAGGGAAAUCCACCUUGGAUACACAGAGGCUUGAAAUGUUU